rnacentral:rRNA from 1 species
UACGGGGGGGGCAAGCGUUGUUCGGAAUUACUGGGCGUAAAGGGCUCGUAGGCGGCCAACUAAGUCAGACGUGAAAUCCCCAGGCUUAACCUGGGAACUGCGUCUGAUACUGGAUGGCUUGAAUCCGGGAGAGGGAUGCAGAAUUCCAGGUGUAGCGGUGAAAUGCGUAGAUAUCUGGAGGAACACCGGUGGCGAAGGCGGCAUCCUGGACCGGCAUUGACGCUGAGGCGCGAAAGCCAGGGGAGCAAACGGG